CCCUGCUCCACCAGGGCUGAUCCCCGAGGGAAGACCUCACAGCUUUGUCGCCAUCCCUUAACCCCGGGGCAGGGGUGGUGAGAUGACAAAACCGAGAAACCUAGUCCAUCCGUCGGUAAGGGAAGACAAACUGAAUACAUCCCCGUUAUGGAAUACCCCAUGAAAAGAACAAGGUAGAUGUACGGAAACAUCGAGGGGAAACUGUUGCCACAGACUACAAAUUCCUGCAUUUGUGCAUCUAUGCAUAGUGCGAAGGAAUAGCUCUGAACCAAGAGAAAACACCCAAGGCCAAGACCAGGGUUGGAGGACAAAGACUCAUACAGAAACGCCCACAGCUCGAACCUGCCGCUUUGCUCUUCCGAAGCCAUCACGUGUUCACCUGCAACCUUACUCCUAGGUUAUUUGGCGGGAAUCGGCCCCUCCCCCUCCUUCAUAACGGAGUGUCGGAAUAGUAAAAUUGAACCUUGAGCAGAGCCUUGUCUUGGUUCCGUCUUUAUCUCGCGCCGCCUAGUCCCUCUUCUCUUCCAGGUUUCCAAAAUGCCUUUCCAG
rnacentral:lncRNA from 1 species